ensembl:lncRNA
AACCUAACGACCUAGCCUUAUUUCUGCUGUUCUACACACUACAGCCAUCUGGGUGAAAAACAGAUUACUAAGUUGUGCUUACAAGACCAUUUAAAACCCCUUUUUUCCUUUGGGCUUGUGGCACCAUUUUUGCCAGUAGUUACUUUGUAGUACAGAAAUGGUCUUCCAAGUCCUUACUGUUGUUCAGAUGUCCUGUUGUUCAGAUAUAUUAUCUUCCUGAACAUUUUCCUGUGGGGUGUUACUGUUACAUUUAUUGGCCUUGUGAGCUGUUAACCAAUUUUCAUGAUAUUAACAAUAUCUCAACAUUUUGAUACAAGUACUUUUAGAAUGUUUCAGUAUGAAACAAUUAUAAUUGUUCAAGUCUAGCUGUUAAGUCUGCUGUUAAUUCUGUAUACAUAGAAACUGAGUCUGUGUUCAGAAUGUUGUUAUAGUUCCAACUGUAGGAUGAAAAAGCAAAUUAUGUGCUCAGAUUUAGCUCUGCCUUUUCUUGUUUUCUUUUGUUUGGAACUGCAUUUCAGAAUUCAACACUAGCAUAGUCUUUAAUAACCUGCUGCUGAUGUUUUUCUUUCCUAAUUAUUUGCCCCGAGGGCAUCCCACAAUUGUGUUAGUAGUUAUAUUCUGUACUUCUUUUCAUUGCACAGACUUGUAAGAUCAGAAUGGUUACCUGAAAGACAGUUGUAAAUCUGUGGAUUCCCGUAUACAAAAUAUUAACGCCAAGUGAAAAAGAGUACCUAUUGGAAGUAAACUACCCACUUUACAUUAAAUGACUCCAUAGAGGUGUCCAUCCUGAAACUAGAUGCUCUUCAAUUAUUAACCAUGUUAUUUACUUUAUUUCAAAAGCAGCUGUGUUUAUGAGUACUGAACAAAUGUGUAUACUUGCCUGUGCCAGACUUUUGACUUUGUUUUCAAGCACUGUACUGUGGGAUUGAGUGGCAGCUUUGUUAGAAGAAGUAUAUUAGGGUUUCUACUUAACCCUUUUAAGACUGAACCAUUUCUUUCCUUUAGAGUUUAUAAAGGAGCAGUUCUAACUUCAUAAAUGUUCUUUGUUCAACAUUGCAUUUGCCCCAUAUGGAGGUGCUAUGCUAAUAUCAUUUAAAAAAAUAAUAAUCCUGUAGCAUGUAUAUACAUUCAGUCUUAAAAGGGUUAUUUUUACAAACUGUGCACCUGUAAAGUUUCUUAGCAAUAAGGUAGAAAAAAUGAGCAAGUUUUUACCAUAAUUUUGUAGAGUGAACUGCUCAGUUCCAUAUUUCAUCAAGAAAAAAACCCUGCAAUAUGGGCAGUUUUGAGGUUUAAAUAAAAGUGAAAUGUAAACCACGUAAGUGUUUUUUGUCAAUUGUACUGUGUGUGUAUAUGUGCAUAUAAUAUCAGGCUGCAUUUUUUCUACAAGGCUAACGAUAAAAUGCCAUGUUACUAUUGAUGUGACAAACCUAAUUGAACAUCUGUAUGAUGAUUCCGUCAAAAAGUAGCUAUGAUUGAUCACCUGUUGAACCUUUGCCACGUUUUUGUGGGCCUUUUUUCCAAUUUUGACUAAGGAGUGUGUUUGUUUCGGGGUUUCUUGUUGCAAAGGAACAGUGAGGUCAUCCGUGGAACCAGAACGACGCAAAAGAAGACCAAGCCCAGGAGUGGAAAAGUCAUCAGUAGUUGUGAGGCUAUGCACACUGGACUCCACUUAAACGGGAUAUGGAAUGUCCACCCAAAAAGCUGGCUUCCAAAUCUGAGUCUGUUUCGUUAUGGCUUGUAUAAUUGCUGGAGUUAGAUAAGAAACUGUUUUUUUUUUUUCCAAUAAUGUAACAAAACAAAAGUUCACUUUUUUAUAUUAUUUAUUAAAUAAGAAAAAAA